GCCCUCGGCGACCGACGCCUCGUGGGCAGCGAGAUCGAGUAGCGCCUGCUGCUUGUAAUAGGUGGACAGCUCGUUCUGCGCGCGGCCUCUGUUUGCCGAGGCCGAUGGCUUCCGGGUAAGCGGCGACUGCAGCAUCCGCUGCUUCCAUUCCAGCAACCGCUUCAUCGACUCCUCGCGCUUUUGUAUCUCUCGUUCU